GACGAACGCUGGCGGCGUGCUUAACACAUGCAAGUCGAACGGAGCGAAUGAAAGCUUGCUUUUAUAAGCUUAGUGGCAAACGGGUGAGCAACACGUAGGCAACCUGCCGACAGGAUGGGGACAACAUUCCGAAAGGAAUGCUAAUACCGAAUGAAGCGCAGGAGAGGCAUCUCUCCUGCGUGAAAGAUGGCCUCUAUAUAUAAGCUAUCACCUGUCGAUGGGCCUGCGUCUGAUUAGCUGGUAGGUGAGGUAACGGCUCACCUAGGCGACGAUCAGUAGCCGGUCUGAGAGGAUGAGCGGCCACAUUGGGACUGAGACACGGCCCAGACUCCUACGGGAGGCAGCAGUGGGGAAUCUUCCGCAAUGGGCGCAAGCCUGACGGAGCAACGCCGCGUGAGUGAAGAAGGUCUUCGGAUCGUAAAGCUCUGUUGAUGGGGACGAACGUGCCUAAUGCGAAUAGUAUUAGGUAAUGACGGACCC
rnacentral:rRNA from 1 species